CAGGGAGACAACAAAAUGUUUAAUAUUAUUAUUUUGUCACCUUAGGUCGAUCGGUAUCUCACGUUCUUAAUUUGUUAAGAAUUUCAUUUCCUAAGUUUUUCUAGGUCACACCCAUUAUUUUUCCUGGGCCAUUAGCUCAGGUGGUUAGAGCGCACCCCUGAUAAGGGUGAGGUCCCUGGUUCAAGUCCAGGAUGGCCCAUAUCUCUAUGUUGGGGGUAUAGCUCAGUUGGUAGAGCGCCUGCUUUGCAAGCAGGAUGUCAGCGGUUCGAGUCCGCUUACCUCCACUGAUUACCACCUCUUCCAUAACUGGUAGAAAGGAAAUGUUUUGAGUUGUGAUUAUUAUUAUGAACGAAUCUAGCUUCCUAAUGAAAUCAUUAAGAUGCUGGACUCAUUGAAUUAAUUUCAUUGUUUUCAGAGAACCUUGACAACUGCAUAGAUUUUUUUAAAGACAAUAAGCAUCUUUAAUGAUGCAGAUUUAUUAUUUGUGCGAAUGCAUUAAUAACAAUUCUAUUAAGCUGAUGCUUCAAUUUUUGAAGUUAUU
rnacentral:tRNA from 1 species